rnacentral:rRNA from 1 species
AAACUAACAAGGAUUCCCCUAGUAACGGCGAGUGAAGCGGGAAGAGCUCAAAUUUGAAAUCUGGCAGCCUUUGGUUGUCCGAGUUGUAAUCUAUAGAAACGUUUUCCGCGUUGGCCCAUGUACAAGUCUGCUGGAAUGCAGCGUCAUAGAGGGUGAGAAUCCCGUCCUUGACAUGGACUACCAGUGCUUUGUGAUACGUUUUCAACGAGUCGAGUUGUUUGGGAAUGCAGCUCAAAAUGGGUGGUAAAUUCCAUCUAAAGCUAAAUAUUGGCGAGAGACCGAUAGCGAACAAGUACCGUGAGGGAAAGAUGAAAAGCACUUUGGAAAGAGAGUUAAACAGUAUGUGAAAUUGUUGAAAGGGAAACGAUUGAAGUCAGUCGUGGGUCUUGCAUUCAGCUGGUUCUGCCAGUGUACUUGCUUGACCCGGGGUCAACAUCGGUUUUGAUCGUCGGAAAAGGUUGUGGGGAACGUAGCACUCUCGGGUGAACUUAUAGCCCUGUAACGUAUACGAUGGUUGGGACCGAGGAACGCAGCUUGCCUUUAUGGCCGGGAUUCGUCCACGUACAAGCUUAGGAUGUUGACAUAAUGGCUUUAAACGAC